rnacentral:rRNA from 1 species
AUGAACGCUGGCGGCGUGCCUCAUACAUGCAAGUCGAGCGAACAGACGAGGAGCUUGCUCCUCUGACGUUAGCGGCGGACGGGUGAGUAACACGUGGAUAACCUACCUAUAAGACUGGGAUAACUUCGGGAAACCGGAGCUAAUACCGGAUAAUAUAUUGAACCGCAUGGUUCAAUAGUGAAAGACGGUUUUGCUGUCACUUAUAGAUGGAUCCGCGCCGCAUUAGCUAGUUGGUAGGGUAACGGCUUACCAAGGCAACGAUGCGUAGCCGACCUGAGAGGGUGAUCGGCCACACUGGAACUGAGACACGGUCCAGACUCCUACGGGAGGCAGCAGUAGGGAAUCUUCCGCAAUGGGCGAAAGCUUGACGGAGCAACGCCGCGUGAGUGAUGAAGGUCUUCGGAUCGUAAAACUCUGUUAUUAGGGAAGAACAAAUGUGUAAGUAACUAUGCACGUCUUGACGGUACCUAAUCAGAAAGCCACGGCUAACUACGUG